UAGAAGACAGAGAAGUCACCAUCCUCAGCACUCAAACAGCUGCUCUAGAAAGCUGCUUUCCAAGCCCACAGAGAUUAAGAAAAAAACAGAUGGGCUUAAAUUGCAUGAAAAUUGCGAUCCAAGUUAGGCAUAAAGAAUUCUCUAAUUGUAAGAAUAUCUUUGAAUUAGAUUACCACAGGAAUGGGAAUAUUUAAUGUUUACUCUGAAAAAGAUUACAGAUUGAAUGAUUGCUGAAUGCCCAUUAAUAACAUAUUUUCUGUUAUUCUAUGAUAAUUAUUAUGGAAUGUGAAAAUUAGAGGUGUUGUGUGAAGGAACUGGGAAACAAGAGAAUGAGUUCUUUACUUACAGGAGAAAAAUUAGAGUGUACUGCAGGAAUGAAGUAGGAGGAAGUUUGGACACGGCAGAUGAGAGGAACAAGAAAACGUGAGGCAGAGAGUGAAGAAGAGUGUCAGGGUUGACAGAAGGCACACAGGAGCAAAGGGAAUAAAUGGGCAAAGCCCACAAAUGCAGGGUUGCAGGAAGGAAUACAGAUAAGCAGUGGGCUGGGAAGCCUUAGGCAGUCCCAUAAAAACAACACACUAAAGCACAAAAAAGACAGCUUGGGAGACAAAGACAAAGCAACACUAAAGAACCAUCACGUGUUCAGCAAUACCACAGUCUUUAUCACCCUUGUUAAAUGUUAUUUUCAUGCAACUUCCUCAAGGGGAGAUGACUCAGCGAGAGAGUAAACCAUAAUGCUCCAUUGACACCAGUGGCCAUAUGUGCUGGUAAUCAGCCUGAAGGCAGCAGAGACAGUUCAGAGAAUCAGCAUGGCCAUGUGAACUUCAUCCUUUACCCUGGAGACUGAGUACUUCUGUAGUCCACUGCUGCCAGAUAGGUAAAAAUACAGGAUGCAUAGAGCAUAUGGACAGCUGUAAAGUCUGUCAUUAAUGCUUCUGGCCGCUAGUACAAACUUCUGUUUAAAUUAAGCAUCAGGGCAGGUUCUUUGGUUGCAUAAAUUGCAGGUCUUUAGUGAUUGGCAUAAAAAAUGUCAAUCACAAGCUUUGGCUGCCAGAAAUAGGGACUGCUAAGUGUUCAGAUAGGUGAGAUGUCAUCUUGUGAAGAAAAAAAAAGCAGAAAGAAAAAUAUUUUCAAUUCACCUUAUGACUAGUAGCUAAUUGGCUGACAUUUCAAAACCCUGUGUUCACACAUCUCAUAUUCUUCACACUAAAUGAGAGACUGAAAACACUGAAGAAAAUGUAUUUUCGGGCAUAGGAAGAAGCAUUGGAUGGAAAUGAAA
rnacentral:lncRNA from 1 species